GCGCAGUGAGGCUGCCGGCGACAGAGUGAAAAUGACAAGCAGGCCCGGAGUGCACAGGCAGGCAGGUGUGAGCGUGGAGAUGCCACACGUGUGAAUGAAAACAGCACGUGGGAAGACACGUGUGAGCGACACAGGUGGGGACACCAGCUGAGAUGAGAAAGUGGAAAUGACUCCCUGGGUGGAGGGGUAUUGACGGACCCGGAGGGCACGCAGAGGCCGGGGAGCAUGACCAAGACCAUCCACCCAUUCCCAACGCAAGCAUUCCUCGGGAAGAACGCACCGCCUUUGGCCUGGCCUGGGGGCCGGCACCUUAACAUGGAAGAGGCAGCAGAGAGCAGCACAGAACCCUCGCGCCUAGCAGCGGAGACCCUGUCCUGACCCUAGCAUCACCACUGACUCACGGGCCACCUGCAAGGCCCUCCCCUUCUGUUUCACAAUCUGUAAAGGAGUCUGUCUUAGAUUGACGUUUCCCAGCCUGGUUUGUCUCUCUGGAUCCAUGGUCAAAUAUCCAUUCUAUGCCUGGAUGGUAAGUCACAUCACAGUGCCCCUGUGACCUGGUUGGGGGGGGAACCCGGUUAACUUUGUUUCCCAAACUUGUUAGACCAGCAGGCCAUUCCUUCCGGCUUGACAGAUCAUGCUUUGGGAAAUGUUGGAC
rnacentral:lncRNA from 1 species